UACGUAGGGUGCAAGCGUUGUCCGGAAUUAUUGGGCGUAAAGAGCUCGUAGGCGGUCUGUCGCGUCGGCUGUGAAAUCCCGAGGCUCAACCUCGGGUCUGCAGUCGAUACGGGCAAACUAGAGUAUUGCAGGGGAGACUGGAAUUCCUGGUGUAGCGGUGAAAUGCGCAGAUAUCAGGAGGAACGCCGGUGGCGAAGGCGGGUCUCUGGGCAAUAACUGACGCUGAGGAGCGAAAGCGUGGGGAGCGAACAGG
rnacentral:rRNA from 1 species